rnacentral:rRNA from 1 species
ACUCAAAUGAAUAGACGGGGAGCUGCACAAGCGGUGGAGUGUGUUGUUUAAUUCGAUGGUAAGCGAAGAACCUUACCAAGGCUUGACAUCCUGGGAAUUAUGUCGAAAGACGUGAGUGCCUUCGGGAACCCAGUGACAGGUGUUGCAUGGCCGUCUUCAGCUCGUGUCGUGAGAUGUUAGGUUAAGUCCUUCAACGAGCGCAACCCUUAUGGUUAGUUGUAUUUUUCUAGCCAGACUGCCCCGGUAACGGGGAGGAAGGAGGGGAUGAUGUCAGGUCAGUAUUACCCUUACGCCUUGGGCUACAAACGCACUACAAUGGCCGGUACAAUGGGCAGCCAAGUCGCGAGACGGAGCAAAUCCCACCAAAGCCGGUCCCAAUUCGGAUUGCAGGCUGAAACUCGCCUGCAUGAAGCCGGAAUCGCUAGUAAUCGCAGAUCAGCAUGCUGCGGUGAAUACGUUCCCAGCUCUUGUACACACCGCCCGU